GAUUAACGCUAGCGGCAGGCCUAAUACAUGCAAGUUGAACGGCAGCACAGGUAGCAAUACUGGGUGGCGAGUGGCGCACGGGUGCGUAACACGUAUGCAACCUACCCUAUACAGGCGAAUAACCUUUAGAAAUGAGGGCUAAUACGCCGUAGUAUUACAGAUGGGCAUCUAUUUGUAAUUUAAGAUUUAUCGGUAUAGGAUGGGCAUGCGUCCCAUUAGUUAGUUGGUAAGGUAACGGCUUACCAAGACGAUGAUGGGUAGGGGAUCUGAGAGGACUUACCCCCAGACUGGUACUGAGACACGGACCAGACUCCUACGGGAGGCAGCAGUAAGGAAUAUUGGGCAAUGGACGCGAGGCUGACCCAGCCAUGCCGCGUGCAGGAAGACGGCCUUAGGGGUGGUAAACUGCUUUUAUACGGGAAUAAUAGAGUGUACGCGUACAUUUAUGCAAGUAUCGUAUGAAUAAGCAUCGGCUAACUCCGUG
rnacentral:rRNA from 1 species